rnacentral:rRNA from 1 species
GAUGAACGCUAGCGGCAGGCCUAAUACAUGCAAGUAGGACGGGAUUGAGAAGCUUGCUUUUCAUGAGAGUGGCGUACGGGUGCGUAACAGGUAUGUAACCUACCUUAAUCAGGGGGAUAGCCUCUCGAAAGAGAGAUUAACACCGCAUAAAAUCAAUUUAUGGCAUCAUAGAAUGAUCAAAUAUUUAUAGGAUUAAGAUGGGCAUGCGGAACAUUAGCUAGGUGGUAAGGUAACGGCUUACCAAGGCUACGCUGUUUAGGGGCUCGGAGAGGAUGACCACCCACACUGAUACUGGUACACGGACCAGACGCCUUCGGGAGGCAGCAGUAAGGAAUAUUGGUCAAUGGGCGCAAGACUGAACCAGCCAUGCCGCGUGCAGGAAGACGGCCCUACAGGUUGUAAACUGCUUUUGUACCGGAAUAAACCUUGGUAUGUAUACGAAGCUGAAUGUACGGUAAGAAUAAGGAUCGGCUAACUCCGUGCCAGCAGCCGCCGUAA